GAUGAACGCCAGUUACAGGCUUAACACAUGCAAGUCGAGGGGCAGCAUUUUAGUUUGCUUGCAAACUGAAGAUGGCGACCGGCGCACGGGUGAGUAACACGUAUCCAACCUGCCGAUAACUCCGGAAUAGCCUUUCGAAAGAAAGAUUAAUACCGGAUAGCAUACGAAUAUCGCAUGAUAUUUUUAUUAAAGAAUUUCGGUUAUCGAUGGGGAUGCGUUCCAUUAGUUUGUUGGCGGGGUAACGGCCCACCAAGACAACGAUGGAUAGGGGUUCUGAGAGGAAGGUCCCCCACAUUGGAACUGAGACACGGUCCAAACUCCUACGGGAGGCAGCAGUGAGGAAUAUUGGUCAAUGGGCGAGAGCCUGAACCAGCCAAGUAGCGUGAAGGAUGAAGGCUCUAUGGGUCGUAAACUUCUUUUAUAUGGGAAUAAAGUUUUCCACGUGUGGAAUUUUGUAUGUACCAUAUGAAUAAGGAUCGGCUAACUCCGUGCCAGCAGCCGCGGUAAUACGGAGGAUCCGAGCGUUAUCCGGAUUUAUUGGGUUUAAAGGGAGCGUAGGUGGAUUGUUAAGUCAGUUGUGAAAGUUUGCGGCUCAACCGUAAAAUUGCAGUUGAAACUGGCAGUCUUGAGUACAGUAGAGGUGGGCGGAAUUCGUGGUGUAGCGGUGAAAUGCUUAGAUAUCACGAAGAACUCCGAUUGCGAAGGCAGCUCACUAGACUGUCACUGACACUGAUGCUCGAAAGUGUGGGUAUCAAACAGGAUUAGAUACCCUGGUAGUCCACACAGUAAACGAUGAAUACUCGCUGUUUGCGAUAUACAGUAAGCGGCCAAGCGAAAGCAUUAAGUAUUCCACCUGGGGAGUACGCCGGCAACGGUGAAACUCAAAGGAAUUGACGGGGGCCCGCACAAGCGGAGGAACAUGUGGUUUAAUUCGAUGAUACGCGAGGAACCUUACCCGGGCUUAAAUUGCAACAGAAUAUAUUGGAAACAGUAUAGCCGUAAGGCUGUUGUGAAGGUGCUGCAUGGUUGUCGUCAGCUCGUGCCGUGAGGUGUCGGCUUAAGUGCCAUAACGAGCGCAACCCUUAUCUUUAGUUACUAACAGGUCAUGCUGAGGACUCUAGAGAGACUGCCGUCGUAAGAUGUGAGGAAGGUGGGGAUGACGUCAAAUCAGCACGGCCCUUACGUCCGGGGCUACACACGUGUUACAAUGGGGGGUACAGAAGGCAGCUACCUGGCGACAGGAUGCUAAUCCCAAAAACCUCUCUCAGUUCGGAUCGAAGUCUGCAACCCGACUUCGUGAAGCUGGAUUCGCUAGUAAUCGCGCAUCAGCCAUGGCGCGGUGAAUACGUUCCCGGGCCUUGUACACACCGCCCGUCAAGCCAUGAAAGCCGGGGGUACCUGAAGUACGUAACCGCAAGGAGCGUCCUAGGGUAAAACUGGUAAUUGGGGCUAAGA
rnacentral:rRNA from 1 species